AACGAACGCUGGCGGCGGGCUUAACACAUGCAAGUCGAGCGCCCCGCAAGGGGAGCGGCAGACGGGUGAGUAACGCGUGGGAAUCUACCCAUCUCUACGGAAUAACGCAUGGAAACGUGUGCUAAUACCGUAUACGUCCUUCGGGAGAAAGAUUUAUCGGAGAUGGAUGAGCCCGCGUUGGAUUAGCUAGUUGGUGGGGUAAAGGCCUACCAAGGCGACGAUCCAUAGCUGGUCUGAGAGGAUGAUCAGCCACACUGGGAAUGAGACACGGCCCAGACUCCUACGGGAGGCAGCAGUGGGGAAUAUUGGACAACGGGCGCAAGCCUGAUCCAGCCAUGCCGCGUGGGUGAUGAAGGCCCUAGGGUUGUAAAGCUCUUUCACCGGUGAAGAUAAUGACGGUAACCGGAGAAGAAGCCCCGGCUAACUUCGUGCCAGCCGCCGCAGUAAAAC
rnacentral:rRNA from 1 species